AUUCUAACGUAUCAACAGCAUUUUAAAAUUCUCUGGACUUCACACUUCGAGAGCUGCAGGUGCUGGCGGAAGAUAUGGAAGUUCACCGCAGCAAAACGGAGGAGGAGGCGGGCCAUGGGAAGCCGGGGGCGGCGGUCGCGCCGGUGCUGGCAGCAGCGGAGAUCGAAGAGUUCUUCGCGGCCGUGGAGGGGAAGCUCCUGCGAUAUUACAAGGACAAGUAUAAUUAUGAUUUUGUCAAGGACGAGCCGGUGGGCGGGCGGUAUGAGUGGAUUAGAUUGAAGCCUUGAAGGCUGCUGAGUGAUGAGUGAAAGAAGAAUUAAGCAAGCAAGGGUUUGGUGAUAUCUAAUUUGGUUUACUUUUGGUUAAUUCGGGAAUAAUUUGACUGGCCAUUUUGAGAAUUAUCUCUCUUAUGAUUGGCUAGGGCUUUCUCUGUUUGUUUCCCUUUGUUCAUGUACAGUCUUCAUGUGUUUAGGAUUCCAUCAUUAUUAUGGUGAAGGGUGUUGCUAAACACAAAAUGGAAGAAUAAUUCUUAAUA